rnacentral:rRNA from 1 species
GACUGACCGAUAGUGAACCAGUACCGUGAGGGAAAGGCGAAAAGAACCCCGGCGAGGGGAGUGAAAAAGAACCUGAAACCGUGUACGUACAAGCAGUGGGAGCACAGGUUUACCUGUGUGACUGCGUACCUUUUGUAUAAUGGGUCAGCGACUUAUAUUCUGUAGCAAGGUUAACCGUAUAGGGGAGCCGCAGGGAAACCGAGUCUUAACCGGGCGUUAAGUUGCAGGGUAUAGACCCGAAACCCGGUGAUCUAGCCAUGGGCAGGUUGAAGGUUGGGUAACACUAACUGGAGGACCGAACCGACUAAUGUUGA